rnacentral:rRNA from 1 species
GAUGAACGCUAGCUACAGGCUUAACACAUGCAAGUCGAGGGGAAACGAUAUUGGCAGCUUGCUUCCGAUAGGCGUCGACCGGCGCACGGGUGAGUAACGCGUAUCCAACCUGCCCACAACUUGGGGAUAACCUUGCGAAAGUACGACUAAUACCCAAUGAUAUCCCUAAAAGACAUCUGAAGGGGAUUAAAGAUUUAUCGGUGGUGUAUGGGGAUGUGUCUGAUUAGCUUGUUGGCGGGGUAACGGCCGACCAAGUCGAGGAUCAGUAGGGGUUCUGAGGAAGGUCCCCCACAUGGGAACUGAGACACGGGCCAAACUCCUACGGGAGGCAGCAGUGAGGAAUAUUGGUCAAUGGGCGAGAGCCUGAACCAGCCAAGUAGCGUGCAGGAUGACGGCCCUAUGGGUUGUAAACUGCUUUUAUAAGGGAAUAAAGUGAGUCUCGUGAGACUUUUUGCAUGUACCUUAUGAAUAAGGACCGGCUAAUUCCGUGCCAGCAGCCGCCGUAA